rnacentral:lncRNA from 1 species
AUGAUGUUUAUGACUAGAUUGCAUACUUUCAGUAUGCAAAUCAACAGACACAAAGGCUUUUGUGACCAACCCAGUAAAAAAUCACAUAAAAAAGAACCUGAAACCCCACUCCCAUUCAGACCUGUGAAGCUAUGGGAAGAGGCACCACAGUUCCCAGGACCCUGUCCCAAAGGGAAAACUCUCUCAACUGGUUGUGGCAACAGAAUAUCUUCCAUAUCACUUCUGGAAACAGCACACUCAAAUCAAAAUGACUCCAGGAAAGUCGGCAGCUUUCACAGCACUGUGACCCAAACUGGGACAGCAGCCCAGUUCUUUGGAUAUCAAACUGGGAAGGAGCACCAAAACCAAGCCCUGAUAUUUUUUCCAGGAGCCCAAGAACCUCAAGGCUCUCUCAAACAGGUAAAGACAAUCAUAAGGAUCAUGCUAUAAAGGGAAAAUAGUUUUUUCACAAGGAACUAUUGAAAGAAACCACAAGAAAAUUACAUUUUCUCAACCAGAACAAAGCUACAUCUUUGUGGCUUCUGUAAAUCAGACUCACCUUUCACUACUCAUCCUUAUUAAUGCAUGCCAUUUAAAAAAUAUAUAAUAAAUAGGAAUGCCUCUAGAUGUCAAAAUCUAGGAAUUGUAUAUAGUGAAUCACACAAUUGUAUACAGUGAAAGACACAGAAUGCUGCAAGGGACAGCACAGACCCUUACAGGCUCCAGUCCCUGGUCCACACAAGCAUCCCUGUCAGCAGAACCUGAGAAAGAGUUUAAACAGUUGAGAGGGGAAAAAAAGUUCUUACUGGAGGAAUUAUUUAUUCUUAGUACCCA